AUUGAACGCUGGCGGCAGGCCUAACACAUGCAAGUCGAGCGGAUGAAGGGAGCUUGCUCCUGGAUUCAGCGGCGGACGGGUGAGUAAUGCCUAGGAAUCUGCCUGGUAGUGGGGGAUAGCGUCCGGAAACGGGCGCUAAUACCGCAUACGUCCUGAGGGAGAAAGUGGGGGAUCUUCGGACCUCACGCUAUCAGAUGAGCCUAGGUCGGAUUAGCUAGUUGGUGGGGUAAAGGCCUACCAAGGCGACGAUCCGUAACUGGUCUGAGAGGAUGAUCAGUCACACUGGAACUGAGACACGGUCCAGACUCCGACGGGAGGCAGCAGUGGGGAAUAUUGGACAAUGGGCGAAAGCCUGAUCCAGCCAUGCCGCGUGUGUGAAGAAGGGCUUCGGAUGGUAAAGCACUUUAAGUUGGGAGGAAGGGCAGUAAGUUAAUACCUUGCUGUUUUGACGUUACCAACAGAAUAAGCACCGGCUAACCUCGU
rnacentral:rRNA from 1 species